GUUGUUUCCACAGUUUGGCUAUUGUACAUAGAGCUGCAAUGACCAUGAGAGUGCUAGUGUUAAUAUCUCUUCAAGAUCCUGAUUUGGCCAACAGGAAUAGGAAAAGAUGCUCAACAUCACCCAUCAUCAAAGAAAUGCAAAUCAAAACCACAGUGAAACAGCACCUCACACUGCUUAGGAUGGCUAUUAUAUAAAACAACAGCAAACCAAAAACCCCAAAAGACAAGUGUUGGCCAGGCUAUGGAGAAACUGAAACCCUUGUGCGCUGUUGGUAGGAAAGUAAAAUGGUGCAGCCACUGUGGAAAACAGUAUAGAGAGUCCUCAAAAAAUUAAGAAUAGAACUACCAUGUGAUCCAGCUAUCCCACUUGUGGAUAUUUGUGCAAGCAAGUUAUUUUAAGGUGACUUUAAUUCUGUCCAACUCUACAUUGCUUUAACCAUCUGGGUGGAACUAUUUCAGCAUUUCUCACCCCAUUUCCUUUUAUGGAAAAUAGCACAAACAAAGCAGAGGACUCAGAAAUUCUUUAGUCAAAUAAUAAGAACGGACCAUGCUGAAGUAAAACAUUGUGUUAAAAUACCAGAUGAACUUGAAAGUUAGACAGCAGUUUUAGGAGAAAUUAAUGUUCUGGAAAGACACUGGCUUGUAUGCAAAUGUAGUCUUAUAUAAUUGUUUCCUGUUUCGCUUUCCCUCUCACUCACCUGAGCUGAGUCAGUUAAAAAUUUGCCUUUACGGCCGGAAGGCUUGAGUCAGGAAUGAAAAGAAGGGAACCCUGAAAGAGCCUUCAAGAGGAAACUGCUGCCGAAACUUCAAACCCAGGUCCAAGGAGAUGUGACUUGCACACGUGCUGUAGAGGGAGAACAGUCCGCUGGGUCUCCUCUGCUCUCCUGCUCUGCUGCAACUCUGCUGCACUUCUGACACCAGACGUGUGGGGGUUCCACACAUCAAGCAAGUCUGGAACACAAGACGCCCCUAACCCCCAACUCAGAGGCCCAUCUCAAGUCUAGGUUGUCACCUGUGCUUCUGACCCACCAGCUGUAGAUCGGUGGUUCCCACAACCCCCUCCUCGGAUUCAAUUAAUUUGCUAGAAUGGCUCACAGAACUCAGGAAAACAGUUUCCUUGCUAGAAUACUGGUUUCUCAGGAACAGCCAGAUGGAAGAGAGCAUAGGGCAAGGUAUGUGGGAAAGGGUGUGGAGCCGCCAUGCCCUCUUUGGACAUGCCCCUGUGGGGACCUGGAAAUGGCCACCCCAAGAUAUGUCUCUUUGGCAUGAUGAUUAUUUGAGGCUGGUUUCUUUGCAGACAGGAAAGCAACUGAAAAGUAGAACUUGCUUACCCUUUUAUUAAGAGACAUUUACAUUGUAAAGGAAAUCUCCAUCUGUAAUGAUAUCCCCCUCUCUACCAGGAAGAAGGGGAGAUGACUUGUCUCUAGAAACUCUUAAUCAAUGGGGAAGGCAAGGACUUAAAUCUGCAUUUGUUUGCUGUGCUUGUCUGGUAACCUCCUGUAGCUGACUUCCCUCCCCCUCCCAACUUUGGCAUUUCUUUAAGGAUUAAGCAUCUUUCCUUAGUCUAGGAACUGAUUGAUGCGCUCACCUGUGACCAC
ensembl:lncRNA